rnacentral:rRNA from 1 species
CGUGAGCAACCUACCUUUGAGUUGGGGAUAGCCCUGGGAAACCAGGAUUAAUACCCGAUGUGGUCACAACAGGACAUCCUGAUGUGAGUAAAGGCGCAAGCCGCUCAAUGACGGGCUCGCGGCCUAUUAGCUUGUUGGUGGGGUAACGGCCUACCAAGGCGAUGAUGGGUAGCUGGUCUGAGAGGACGAUCAGCCACACUGGGACUGAGACACGGCCCAG